UACUCCGGUGCCCAAGGAUGGGUCUGCGGCCUAUCAGGUAGUAGUGGGUGUAACGUACCUACUAGCCAGCGACGGGUAAGGGUUGCGAGAGCAAGAGCCCUGAGAUGGAUUCUGAGACAUGAAUCCAGGCCCUACGGGGUGCAGCAGGCGCGAAAACUUUACACUGCGGGAAACCGCGAUAAGGGGACCCCGAGUGCCAGCACCUAGUGCUGGCUGUCCAGCUGUCCAAAUAACAGUUGUUAGCAAGGGCCGGGCAAGACCGGUGCCAGCCGCCGCGGUAACACCGGCGGCCCGAGUGGUAGCCGUUAUUAUUGGGUUUAAAGGGUCCGUAGCCGGCCUGUUAAGUCUCUUGGGAAAUCUGGCGACUCAAUCGUCAGGCGUUCA
rnacentral:rRNA from 1 species